CUUGAUUAAUUAUAAGAGGUCCAGCCUGCCCAGUGACUUUGUUCAACGGCCGCGGUAUCCUAACCGUGCGAAGGUAGCGUAAUCACUUGUUCUUUAAAUGAGGACUUGUAUGAAUGGCAUCACGAGGGUUACACUGUCUCCUUUUUCUAAUCAGUGAAACUAAUCUUCCCGUGAAGAAGCGGGAAUAUUAAUAUAAGACGAGAAGACCCUAUGGAGCUUUAAACUCAAUAACAAAUACUUACCUCACUUUAACUUCCAAAGCAAACCCUUAUUUCAGUAUUAUGAUUAUUAGUUUUAGGUUGGGGUGACCGCGGAGUAAAAAUUAACCUCCACAUUGAACGGGACCUAUCCCUGAGCCAAGAGCCACGACUCUAAGCACCAAUAAAUUGACAUUAAUUGACCCAAUAUUUUGAUCAACGAAC
rnacentral:rRNA from 1 species